rnacentral:rRNA from 1 species
CGCGUAGACGGCUGUCUAAGUCUGGAGUGAAAGUCCUGCUUUCAAGGUGGGAAUUGCUUUGGAGACUGGAUGGCUUGAGUGCGGAAGAGGUAAGUGGAAUUCCCAGUGUAGCGGUGAAAUUCGUAGAUAUUCGCAAGAACACCAGUGGCGAAGGCGGCUCACUGGGCCAUUACUGACGCUGAGGCACGAAAGCGUGGGGGAGCAAACA